GCUUUUCAACCUCUUCUCCUUCACGCUCUCUUUCUUUCAAGGGACUUUCCUCUGCAUUUCUCUCUGCUGUUUCUCCUGAGGCUGCUGAAAAUCCUUCGAAUAUUUCCAAAAAUCCUCUGUUUUUCAACCGAUCUGAGCUCUUUUUCGGAUUCACGGCGCAGAGAUCUUCUCAGAAACCCUAGAUUUUGAAUAAAAGGGUUUAUCAGCAUGCCUUGGCCGUCUUCUUGUGUUAAUUACAGCAGGAAGUGUGUUGGCUUGGUGGUGUUCUUCCGUGUCAUACUGUAAGAUUCGAUCUUUUCCGGUGAAAUACCUUUGAAUCGUCAAAGGAGCGUUUUGUUUUUUUGUUGUAUGUUAUUCUGGUUUUGAGGCAGUGAGGAUGAACAUUGCGAUUAACCUGAAGAGAUACCGAACAGUGAAGGAGGUUGGGAGAAUUACAAUGAACAUCAGAAUCAUAGCGUGCUACCA